rnacentral:lncRNA from 1 species
GGUACGUUCCCUUUUAGUUUGAUACCGACCGCGGUCGAGAGCAGACGUUCAUUUGUCGUAAGAACUCUACAUGUAGCACAUAAAAGUUUACUGAUCACUCGAUGACCCGUAUUAUAAGUAGAUAUAGCGUAAGUGUAAGAAGUACUUUUUGUAAAAAGUGCUUAUUGUAAUAAGUGUUUAUUGUAAAAAGUACUUACAUAUAAUAUUGUAAGAUACGUUAGUUUUGAAAAUAAAUAUUUAGCACGCCUUGA